AACGAACGCUGGCGGCAGGCCUAACACAUGCAAGUCGAGCGAGGACUUCGGUUCUAGCGGCGGACGGGUGAGUAACGCGUGGGAAUGUGCCCUUCUCUACGGAAUAGCCCUGGGAAACUGGGAGUAAUACCGUAUACGCCCUAUUGGGGAAAGAUUUAUCGGAGAAGGAUCAGCCCGCGUUGGAUUAGGUAGUUGGUGGGGUAAUGGCCUACCAAGCCGACGAUCCAUAGCUGGUUUGAGAGGAUGAUCAGCCACACUGGGACUGAGACCCGGCCCAGACUCCUACGGGAGGCAGCAGUGGGGAAUCUUAGACAAUGGGGGCAACCCUGAUCUAGCCAUGCCGCGUGAGUGAUGAAGGCCUUAGGGUUGUAAAGCUCUUUCAGCUGGGAAGAUAAUGACGGUACCAGCAGAAGAAGCCCCGGCUAACUCCGUG
rnacentral:rRNA from 1 species